UGGGGAAUAUUGCACAAUGGGCGCAAGCCUGAUGCAGCCAUGCCGCGUGUGUGAAGAAGGCCUUCGGGUUGUAAAGCACUUUCAGCGAGGAGGAAGGGUAGUGUGUUAAUAGCACAUUGCAUUGACGUUACUCGCAGAAGAAGCACCGGCUAACUCCGUGCCAGCAGCCGCGGUAAUACGGAGGGUGCAAGCGUUAAUCGGAAUUACUGGGCGUAAAGCGCACGCAGGCGGUUUGUUAAGUCAGAUGUGAAAUCCCCGCGCUUAACGUGGGAACUGCAUUUGAAACUGGCAAGCUAGAGUCUUGUAGAGGGGGGUAGAAUUCCAGGUGUAGCGGUGAAAUGCGUAGAGAUCUGGAGGAAUACCGGUGGCGAAGGCGGUCCCCUGGACAAAGACUGACGCUCAGGUGCGAAAGCGUGGGGAGCAAACA
rnacentral:rRNA from 1 species